rnacentral:sRNA from 1 species
GUGCUUGCAAAUAUGAGAA